AUCAUUUGUGCUUGGGGCAAUGACACAGCUAGUGAGAUAAUAACCGAAGCGCGUCUAUUGCCUGGUUGAAAACUAUUUCCAAACCCCCUCCUAAUUCAUGGUUCUGCCUUGGCCUUGGAGAAUUUCUGGAAGGGCUCCUAUCGGGUAAAACC